rnacentral:rRNA from 1 species
CCUACGGGUGGCAGCAGUGAGGAAUAUUGGUCAAUGGACGGAAGUCUGAACCAGCCAUGCCGCGUGCAGGAAGACGGCCCUAUGAGUUGUAAACUGCUUUUGUACAAGGGUAAACCUGAAUACGUGUAUUCCGCUGAAAGUACUGUACGAAUAAGGAUCGGCUAACUCCGUGCCAGCAGCCGCGGUAAUACGGAGGAUCCAAGCGUUAUCCGGAUUUAUUGGGUUUAAAGGGUGCGUAGGCGGAUUGAUAAGUUAGAGGUGAAAUGUCCGAGCUUAACUCGGGAACUGCCUCUAAUACUGGUGAUCUAGAGAGUAGGUGCGGUAGGCGGAAUGUGUGGUGUAGCGGUGAAAUGCUUAGAGAUCAUACAGAACACCGAUUGCGAAGGCAGCUUGCCAAUCUAUAUCUGACGUUGAGGCUCGAAAGCGCGGGUAUCGAACAGGAUUAGAUACCCGUGUAGUC